rnacentral:rRNA from 1 species
UACUCCUACGGGAGGCAGCAGCGGGGAAUAUUGGACAAUGGGCGAAAGCCUGAUCCAGCCAUGCCGCGUGAGCGAUGAAGGCCUUAGGGUUGUAAAGCUCUUUCAGUGGGGAAGAUAAUGACUGUACCCACAGAAGAAGCCCCGGCUAACUCCGUGCCAGCAGCCGCGGUA